rnacentral:rRNA from 1 species
AUGAAUCGCGAAACUGCGCCGUGCGUGCCGCGCGUUUUAGCCUUUUCUGAGCCCGCAAAUCAUGGCUGGCCGCCGCCGCCGCCGCCGCCGCCGACUGAUCGGACGGGCAGAGAGAAGCACCGCCGGAGAAGAAGAGGAAGGCUGGACCUGGGAGAAGGGAUCAGGGGCACCGCAGCAGAUCCGCUGAUUUGCAAUCGAUCAAAACGAAAUUCCACCGCUAAUUAUAACCUAACUAAAAAGAAUCUGUUUAACCUCUGGGUUCAGGGUUUGCUUUGUUUGCUCAAGGAAGAUUUACAUCUUUCGGUGCAUCAGUUCCUUCCCCUUUUGCAGUUGCUCUGUGAAUGCAUGCGACGGAGGUGA